CCCUAGUAACGGCGAGUGAAGCGGCAACAGCUCAAAUUUGAAAUCUGGCUCCUUCGGGGUCCGAGUUGUAAUUUGCAGAGGAUGCUUCGGGUGCGGGUUCCUUCCGAGUUCCCUGGAACGGGACGCCAUAGAGGGUGAGAGCCCCGUCUGGUCGGAAACCCAGCCCAUGUGAAGCUCCCUCGACGAGUCGAGUAGUUUGGGAAUGCUGCUCUAACGGGAGGUAUACUCCUUCCAAAGCUAAAUACCGGCUGGAGACCGAUAGCGCACAAGUAGAGUGAUCGAAAGAUGAAAAGCACUUUGAAAAGAGAGUCAAAUAGCACGUGAAAUUGCUGAAAGGGAAGCGCUUGCUACCAGACUUGGGUUGGGCGGUUCAUCCGGCGCCACGCGCCGGUGCACUCCGCCUGCCCAGGCCAGCAUCAGCUUUCCGUCGGGGGCAAAGACGUCGGGAAUGUGGCUCCCCCUCGGGGGAGUGUUAUAGCCCGGCGUGUCAUACCCGGCGGGGGGCUGAGGUACGCGCUCCGCAAGGAU
rnacentral:rRNA from 1 species